rnacentral:rRNA from 1 species
GGGGUAAAAUUAAUAAAUAAAAGUUUAAUAAAAAAAAUUUUAAUGUUAAAAUAUUUAAUGGGGGUUAAAGUAUUUAAAUAGAAAAAAUUUUAAAAUUUAUAGUUAAUUAGUAUUGUGAAAGAAAUUUGAAAUAUAAUUGAAAUAAAAAUUAUAUUAAAAGUAAAUUUAAUUUAUUGUAUCUUGUGUAUCAGAGUUUAUUAAUAUAUAUAUAUUAAAUUAAAUUUCUCGAAUUUAAAAGAGUUAAUUAAUUAAAAAAUUUAUUGUUUCAUAAAUAUUUUAAAUAAUUAAUUAGUAAUGAAAUGUUAAUCGUUUUUAAAUAUAUCUAGUUAUUUUAGAAAAAAAUUUAAUUUUUAAUUAAAUUUUAAAAUAAAUUAAUUAAUUAAUUUAUUUUAAAAUUUAAUUUAAUAUUUUAAGGGAUAAGCUUUAAUUUAAAAUUUUAUAAUAAAAAUUAAUAAUUUGAAAAUUUUAUAAUUUAUAUUGUUAAUAAAUUUUAAUUUAUUAUAAAUAAUUUCAUAAAAUUAAAAAUUUAAUUAAAUUUAAUUUUUUAUAAAAUAAAAUUUUUAAAUAAAUAAGAAUUAAAUAUAAUGAUAAAAUUAGUAUAUAAAAUAAAUUAAAUUUAAAUUAUUAAUUUAUGAUAAUUAUAUAUAAAGGAAUUCGACAAAAAUUUAUAUUCACCUGUUUAUCAAAAACAUGUCUUUUUGAUUAAUAAUUUAAAGUCUAAUCUGCCCACUGAUAUAUAUAUAUUAAAGGGCUGCAGUAUAUUGACUGUACAAAGGUAGCAUAAUCAUUUGUCUCUUAAUUGGUGACUUGUAUGAAAGAUUGGAUGAAAUAUAAAUUGUCUCUAUAAUAUUUAUUGAAUUUAAUUUUUUAAUAAAAAAGUUAAAAUAGUUUAAAAAGACGAGAAGACCCUAUAGAGUUUUAUAUUUAUAUUUUUUUUAAAAUUUAAAAAAUGAAUAUUUUAAAAUAAAUUAAAUAUUUUAUUGGGGUGAUAAAAAAAUAAAUUUAACUUUUUUUUUAUUUAAACAUAGAUAAGUGAAUAAUUGAGCCAAUAUUAUUGAUUAUAAGAAAAAAUUACCUUAGGGAUAACAGCGUAAUUUUUUUUUUUAGGCCAAAUAAGAAAAAAAGUUUGCGACCUCGAUGUUGGAUUAAGAUAAAAUUUAAAUGCAAAAGUUUAAAAUUUUGAUCUGUUCGAUCAUUAAAAUCUUACAUGAUCUGAGUUCAAACCGGUGUAAGCCAGGUUGGUUUCUAUCUUUUAAUAAUUUUAAUAUUUUAGUACGAAAGGAUCAAAUAUUGUAAUUAAAUUAAAUAAAUUGAAUAUUAUUAAGAUAUUAAUAAAUUUA